AUACUUACCUGGAUAGGGUCAAUGGGUGAUCAAGAAAAUGCUUACAAAAAAAAAAGGUCGGUGGCCUUCAUUGCACUUAGAAGGGGUGCCUGUUUAAGGUCUCCUUGAGAUGGAGAGCCUAUGUCAUAGUUUGUUGUGGUGGGGGUUUGCGUUCGUGCAGCCUCUUC